GGGAAAGCAUGCAGUAGCUUUUCUGUUGCCACAGAAUAUUGAGUCUCAAAAUUCAAUGCAACCAUGUAUGAGAAGGGUUAUCAGAGGUGCAUCCCCUAUCACACUUCCUUAUCUACAAACACAAGGAAUUUACUGAAGUCUUAAAACUGAAGACAUGCUCUUCCGCCUAUAACACUUCAGCUGUCCCUGACUUAAAAGCAACCUAAACAUCUUCCAAGGUUUGAAGGAAAGUUCAAGUAGAUUCAACGCAGGAACUUGGCAAUACGAAUCUCUGGAAUCCAACAAGUGCACUGAAACUUUCACAGCUGAUUCAUAAGAUUCUACAAAAGUCAUUUCCACAAAAAACAGUGCUGAUACUUCUACAUAUAUGCAUGCAGCCCGCAGUACUACUAAUCUGUGUGGUCAAGCGCAGGUAUCUGCUGAACCGGGGCUAAAACAUGGCACAGUUUUACUUCAGUUAACUCUAGAGGACUGAUGCUCUGAAGCAAGUACUUCAGUUCCUUCCUCAUACUACAAACUACGGUCAAAGCAGAGUUAUCUUCAGCCUGCACUCGCACACAGGUCCUGAAAUACCCGAGGGCUUUCUUACAUUUCCUAUUAAAUAAAGAUAUUCCAAGUUGCAGUGAAAUGUGUCUGUCCUGAACUUAUUCUGGAGAGAAGGACCCCUUUUCAGUUGCUAGGUCUUGCCUGCCCUAUAACUGAAAAGCAUGAAGGAGUUACAGGCUUGAAUAAGCACAACAAUCUGGCUUUAGAAUACACUCCAAGACUAAACUGCCAGUUUUUGUUGAAAAGAGCACUGUCUCAAUGAAAGGGAUGUGUAUGCGCAGUAGCUGCACUGAGUACCA